rnacentral:rRNA from 1 species
UAACAAGGAUUCCCCUAGUAACUGCGAGUGAAGCGGGAAAAGCUCAAAUUUAAAAUCUGGCGGUCUUCGAUCGUCCGAGUUGUAGUCUGGAGAAGCGUCUUCCGCGCUGGACCGUGUACAAGUCUCUUGGAACAGAGCGUCGUAGAGGGUGAGAAUCCCGUCUUUGACACGGACUACCAGUGCUUUGUGAUGCGCUCUCAAAGAGUCGAGUUGUUUGGGAAUGCAGCUCAAAAUGGGUGGUAAAUUCCAUCUAAAGCUAAAUAUUGGCGAGAGACCGAUAGCGAACAAGUACCGUGAGGGAAAGAUGAAAAGCACUUUGGAAAGAGAGUUAAACAGUACGUGAAAUUGCUGAAAGGGAAACGAUUGAAGUCAGUCGCGUCGUCUAGAACUCAACCUUGCCUCGGCUCGGUGCAUUUUCUAGUUGACGGGCCAGCAUCAGUUUUGACCGUCGGAAAAAGGUCCUCGGAAUGUGGCACCUUCGGGUGUGUUAUAGCCUUGGGUCGUAUACGACGGUUGGGACUGAGGACCGCAGCACGCCUUUAUGGCCGGGGUUCGCCCACGUACGUGCUUAGGAUGCUGGCGUAAUGGCUUUAAACGAC